rnacentral:rRNA from 1 species
AGUAAAUAGAUACCCGGGUAGUCCACGCCGUAAACGAUGUCGACUUGGAGGUUGUGCCCUUGAGGCGUGGCUUCCGGAGCUAAACGCGUUAAAGUCGACCGCCUGGGGAGUACGGCCGCAAGGUUAAAACUCAAAUGAGUUGACGGGGGCCCGCACAAGCGGUGGAGCAUGUGGUUUAAUUCGAUGCAACGCGAAGAACCUUACCUACUCUUGACAUCCAGAGAACUUUCCAGAGAUGGAUUGGUGCCUUCGGGAACUCUGAGACAGGUGCUGCAUGGCUGUCGUCAGCUCGUGUUGUGAAAUGUUGGGUUAAGUCCCGCAACGAGCGCAACCCUUAUCCUUUGUUGCCAGCGGUUAGGCCGGGAACUC